GACGAACGCUGGCGGCGUGCUUAACACAUGCAAGUCGAACGGAAAGGCCCCUUUGGGGGUCCUCGAGUGGCGCACGGGUGAGUAACACGUGAGUAACCUGCCCUUGACUUCGGGAUAACUUCAGGAAACUGGGGCUAAUACCGGAUAGGAAUCCUUGCUGCAUGGUGGGGGUUGGAAAGCUUCGGCGGUUUUGGAUGGACUCGCGGCUUAUCAGCUUGUUGGUGGGGUAGUGGCUUACCAAGGCUUUGACGGGUAGCCGGCCUGAGAGGGCGACCGGCCACAUUGGGACUGAGAUACGGCCCAGACUCCUACGGGAGGCAGCAGUGGGGAAUAUUGCACAAUGGGCGGAAGCCGGAUGCAGCAACGCCGCGUGCGGGAGGACGGCCUUCGGGUUGUAAACCGCUUUCAGCAGGGGCGAAGCUUGUGGUGACGGUACCUGCAGAAGAAGCACCGGCUAACUACGUG
rnacentral:rRNA from 1 species